rnacentral:rRNA from 1 species
AUGGAGAAAGAGCUCAAAAACCACCGUCUCCACCCUGGGUGCGGCCCCCUCGUGCUGGACGACAGCGGUAAGCAGUUCAAGUGCCAGGCGUGCAAGCUCGACGGCUCCAGGAUGUACGCGUAUCGCUGCACCGGCUGCGAGGACUUCCGCCUCCACGGGCAGUGCGCGACGUGCCCGGACAAGCUGGGCUUCUGGGGCCACCCGCAGCACGAGUUGGUGCUGGAGCGCUCCCGCGCGGACAUGGGCAAGGUGCUGCUGGCGGUGCGGUCGGACAUCCACUCGGCGCUCAUGUCGACCACGCCCAAGGGCGGCGUCCUCCCGGUCGGCUGCGAGAUGUGCACCGGCGAGAUCGAGGGGAUGCACUACUACUGCUCCGCCUGCGGCUUCUUCGCGCACGCCGUCUGCGCCACGCUGCCCAAGACGACGCGCAGCGCCGCCCACGGGGAGCACGACCUCGCGCUCUUCAUCUCCUUCCCCACCAUGUGCUCGGCGCCGGAGUGCAAGAUGCCCGCCGUCUGGGCCUACCGGUGCAUGCCCUGCCUCGCCUUCUACCACAUCAACUGCUUGCCGGAGAACGACGGGAUGUUCAUCAAGCCCUUCGGCGAGCUCCCCCCCAAUCCGUUCGUCCCAGCGCCGCCCAUGAUGGGAGGAAUGGGACCGCCUCCCGGUGGCGCUACGUUCAACCAAGAAAACCCGUUUGGCGUGGUGAACACGUACCGCCACCGCGGCAUCUAG